UACGGAGGGGGCAAGCGUUAUCCGGAAUUAUUGGGCGUAAAGCGUCCGUAGGUGGUUGACCAAGUCUGCUGUCAAAGGGUGGGGCUUAACCUCAUAAAGGCAGUGGAGACUGGAGAGCUAGAGUGCGGUAGGGGUAAGGGGAAUUCCGAGUGUAGCGGUGAAAUGCGUAGAGAUUGGGAAGAACAUCGGUGGCGAAAGCGCCUCGCUGGGCCGGUACUGACACUGAGGGGCGAAAGCUUGGGGAGCGAAAGGG
rnacentral:rRNA from 1 species